rnacentral:rRNA from 1 species
CCUACGGGUGGCUGCAGUGAGGAAUAUUGGUCAAUGGACGAGAGUCUGAACCAGCCAAGUAGCGUGAAGGAUGACUGCCCUAUGGGUUUUAAACUUCUUUUAUAAAGGAAUAAAGUGAGGCACGUGUGCCUUUUUGUAUGUACUUUAUGAAUAAGGAUCGGCUAACUCCGUGCCAGCAGCCGCGGUAAUACGGAGGAUCCGAGCGUUAUCCGGAUUUAUUGGGUUUAAAGGGAGCGUAGAUGGGUUGUUAAGUCAUUUGUGAAAGUUUGCGGCUCAACCGUAAAAUUGCAAUUGAUACUGGCAGUCUUGAGUACAGUUGAGGUAGGCGGAAUUCGUGGUGUAGCGGUGAAAUGCUUAGAUAUCACGGAGAACUCCGAUUGCGAAGGCAGCUUACUAAACUGACACUGACAUUGAUGCUCGAAAGUGUGGGUAUCAAACAGGAUUAGAUACCCCUGUAGUC